GCCUCUUUAGUAUAAAGGUUUAUUAUUUCUGUUUUGUAGUCAGAAGAUGUGGGUUCAAUUCCUACAAGAGGCU
rnacentral:tRNA from 1 species